UUUUAAAAGUGCGUGACGUAAUCUCUACCAGGUGCAGGUGUGUUGCUAAUGAGCAGCUGUGUUGUGCGCGCCGCUGUUGUUCAUGUAGCGUAUCAUGAACAGGCUAACCUGCAGAGUGUCCGUUAACGUGGCUUCAGGACGGCGUUUUAGAGGAACAGUGAUGUUUGUGCUGCAGCACAGGUUCAGUUAUGAGUUAUGUUUGUGAUAUCAGCAGUGGAGCCGUCGGCUUUUUGGGACAGUUCAGCACCGUGGGGAGUUGUCAUGUCCUGCUGUGGAGUUUACUACAGCAGCAACUCUUCAGAAAGAGCCUCUCUGUGUUUCUGCGUCGCUCCAUCAAGAUUUCCGUGUACCUGCUAGGAGCCUACAGCUGCAGGAGUGUCAACUUUGCACAUGGGGACAGUGGAGUUGAUAUGCAUAACCAAGGAGCCGAGAAGCACCUAAAUGUCACGAAACGUGUUGGCGGGGCUGAAGCCUUUUGGUCUUGAUCUACGCCGUAUGUUACCAGCCAGGGGAUGGUGGAUGCUGUGAUACCUGCCAAGCACCUGACAGCAGAGGACCACUGUUCAAGACCAACAAAAGAAGUUUCUUUAGAAUUUCGCCUUAUUGGAUUUCUUCACCAUGGAGGCAUGCAAGUCACUAGGUGUUUGUAGGAAAAGUGUCUGUGGCCAGCUGGCCCCAUUCCACCGUACGGACAACUUCCUCCUGAGCCUCCAUAAUCACGUGAGUCUUCUCUGGCUUCAUAUUCCAUCCCUCAUGUGUCUAUUGCUGAACUUUGCUGGCUGACAGGUAAUACAUUUUAAUAUGAAUGCAUAAUAGCAUGCAUAUUAGAAUAUAUUAUACACAUAAUAUUUGGUUUCAAGUGUUGGGGCAUAGUCUGACUUUGACAAUGCUGAAUACUUUAGGAACAAUUUUCCUUUUUUCUUGAACACAUUCAUUUGUCAGCUCUUUACAGAUCGUUCCUCAGAAAAUCACUGAGCAGCAGAUGAGUUUACCAGAAUUCCUCAUUAAUCAAAGGAUGGGGAAUGUUGGCAGUGUCAGCGCAGCACGGAAGAAUAUUUUUGUUUUUUUGUAUACUUGUUUUUUUUUUGUUUUUUUUUUUUAAUUCAAAUAAGCCUGCAGCAUUUUUGACAGCACUCUGUUUUGAGGGAGUACAUUGGUGGAAGCGAGGGAUGUUGGCAGCAGAGGGAGCUUGUUAAAAGAGCAACUCUGGCUUUCAUGAGAAAUGAGUAUGCAGACAACUGGAGGCAUGCUGUGCGAGGAUCUACAGGCACUGUUGUGUGUGAUCCCUGCACCCAGUGCACUCGCCUGGUGCUUGGAUGCUGGUGUGGGUGAUGUCUAUGGACAAAACAAGGGUCCCUUUGCGCAGCACAGCAUUAUUUUCCCUGAGGCGUGUUUGAUGAGAUGACCAGUUAUUUGUGUGUAUACAGUGUUUAUGAUAAGUCAAGACACGUUAUUUGUGUUGUUUUUGCUUGAAACUGAAAUAUGGCUCAGAAAUGAUUUGUUGCUUCAACAAAUCAGGCAUCUUUCUGUAUGCCUUGUAUUUAUGGUACAGGAUGUAACAUUUUUUUAUUGCUAAUGGGAGAACAUAUUAAAAAGUGAGACCUUCCCCAACUUUUUCGUGAAAAUCCAAACAAUGUGGUGAACCUUAGCCAAGAAAUCCCUUUGUGGCAAAAAGCCCUUAUGGCAAACUUCUUCCAACAGCGUGCUGCAUCUCUCUCUGCAGUGUGCAACAGUAGAUAACAUUAGCUUAGAAAUGGAGUCUGUUAACGUCAACUAACGACCAGUUCCCACCACGACAGAGUCCACACCUGCUGUUCUCAUUAUUUACAUUUUGCAGCGACAGCCUGGAGAUGGACCAUCACGUACUGCCGAGGUUUGACCUGACUGAAUUUGAGCUGCCCUGGCUGAAGGUCCGUCUCCGGAGUUGCCAUCGAUAUUCCUACAGGGGAAGUAAUUUCGGAGAAGCAGAAAGACAGCGGUAUGUGUUGGCUAAUUCUCAUUUGUGGUCAGAUUCAGUGCCCCAUAUCAUAAUUUCAGUUACCCUGGUGCUGAAGAGGAAGCCCAAAAAGCAAACACUGUAGGCCUGAUAUAUUAUGAUACUGUGGUUUCAGCUGGCUAAUGUAAGCUAGUGUCGACCUGCUUUCUGACACGAUGAAUUGCUAGUUAGCGAACACAGCAAAAUACUGUAGAGUGCUCCAGGGAUGACGUUUUUCUGUUGGCCAGCAUGAAGGUUAGCAUCACCCUGGUUCCCUUGUCAAAAGGCCUAUGGGAUUUUCCAUUGGAUUUUGGAUUAAUGCAGAGAAUAAGCUCUGUGGCAAAUAAAAGUUUCUGAUACUUAGACGCUUUGUUCAGUAAGAUAAUCUUCACAAAUGAGCAUCACUUACAUUUUUUAUUUUUAAGCCUAAAUGCAUUUCCAUAAGUAAAAAGCUAACAUUAGGCUAUGAACAAACUACACUACAGUCGCAUGAUUGAACAUCCUUACCAUGACGACACUGUAAAGGGGUGUUCAGCUUGAUAUAUGUUCUGUAGUCUCAUUUAGCAGCUGCCUUUUAUAACAAACAAAACAUGAAAGUCUCUUAAGAUUUUGUUAACCACAGACCUUACUUUAGGCAUUUCACAGAAACCCAUUGACUUCAAGACAAGGGAACUAGGAGUGCUAAAAUGCUAACUCAUUUCUGGGGUUUAGGACUUAAUCCUGGAGCACUUUAUUGAGAGGAUAACGUUAGCUAAUUCAUCCAGACUCCAGGGCUGGUUUGCAAAUUACUUUAUCAGCUAUGAAACAACCAACAGCAGAUCCAUGCAGUGUAGCUAAUUUACACUUAGCUGGGCAACCAACAAGGUAACAGUAACUGAAGCUAAGGUUAGUGAGCAAGCUGUAAAGCUACGCUGCAUGGAUCUGCUGUUGGUUGUUUCAUAGCUGAUAAAGUAAUUUGUGUGCAAUUUCAUAAUUUCAUGACAUGAGAGAAAGAGGUGUCACCAUUAACAAGGAUUUUUUUUUUUUUUUAAAACAUUUAAGUAACAGCCUUUAAAAAUAGGAGAAAAUAUUUCUCAAAGCGGAAAAUUGGUUCAUAUUUUGAAACUAUUCUGAUUUUGGAUUUUUUUUUUUUUUUUAAAACAUCUGGUCUGUACUACCUUGCUUCGCACUGCGACCUGACUCUAGACACAAGGAAGAAGAGAGAUGGCUUUAUUUUUUAAAGGCUCCCGACUGCCUCCUUUCUAGCUCCAACCAGAGAGAAAGAAUCGAACGCUCUGCCAACGUUUCCCCCUCCUCAGCUGCCUGAACAGGGCUGCGUGUGUGACACUGUGGUGAGCAACAUGGAGGCCCUACAGGGGACAGUCCUGUCACCAAUUUCUGUUCAUCCUCUACACCACAGACUUAAGAUAUAACUCCAGGUUCUACCACCUGCAGAAGUUCCUUGACAACUCUGCAACUGUGGGCUGCAUCAGCAACUCUCUAGUUAAGUGUUGUGAGCUGAACCACCUGCUGCUCAACAGAGGCAAGACAAAGCAGCUGGUGGUGGACUUCAGCAGGCAGAAAACACCCCCCAUACUGAAAUGAAGGAUUACAAGUACCUGGGAGUUCACCUGGACAACAAGCUGGACUGGGCUAAGAACACAGAGGCUGUGUCCACAUGCAGAAGACCACCUGCAGAGGCAUCCUGUCAUUCAGUGACCACAGUACCCUGCUGAGGAUGUUCUACCAGUGUGUGGCAGUCAGUGUCAUCAUCUUUACUGUCACGUGCUGGGGCAGCAGGGUGAAGGGCUGUCAAUGCCAAUGACAUCACUUGGCUCAUCAGGGAUGCUAGCUCUGUCAUGGGAAUGGAGCUUGAUUCUUCGGUGGUGAUGUCAGAGAGAAGGACGCUGCACAUGUGGCGCAUCAUAAACAGUGACUCAACUUUUAUACAACAUGCUGCACAGGACCAUCUCUACCACCACGACCUACCACAGAAUAUCACUGGGAAUCCCUUCUCCCUGUGGCAAUCAAACUGUACAACUCAUCUACCUCAUACAGAGAGAUGGACAGCAGCCACAUGGGGUGCUCAGGUGGCUCCAGCCUCCUUUUCACAUCUGCUCUGUUCAGUUUAAUCUCCCUCCUCCUUUCUGGAUUACCAUCUCUCUCUGGAUGAUAAUUCAUUACAACUCUCUGACUGGGGGGGGUCAUAAUGUGUAACAGCAUGGACAUGAACAACAGUCUGAACAUUUUGAAUUAACAAUUUAAACUCCCCUGUGCUAAGAUUUAAUAUUGCAUACUUUUCAUACAGAUCUGUGGUCCUCAUAUCAACCUUAACAACAUUUUGUAUAUUUUAGGUUUGCACCUUUUAGUUUUACAACCCUUACCCUUGACUUUUUGUACAUUUGGUUUUGCACCUUAUUGAUAAUCCUAAAGCUACAGUUGGUAACUUUUAAGUUUAAGUUUAUUUACUUUAUUAAUCCCCGAGGAGAAAUUCAAUGUUUUCACUCUUGCUUGUCAAUUACACACAGGUCCGAAAGACACACACAUGCACAAACAGGACCUAUACAUGCACAAAGUGGAGAGAUGUCAGAGUGAGGGGGCUGCCCUUGGUGGGGCGCCCCGAGCAGUUGGGGGGCUCGGUGCCUUGCUCAAGGGCACCUCGGCAGUGCCCAGGAGGUGAACUGGCACCUCUCCAGCCACCAGUCCACGCUCCAUAUUUUGGUCCGGAUGGGGACUCAAACAGGCGACCCUCCGGUUCCCAACCCAAGUCCCUAUGGACUGAACUACUGCCACCCCAACUGUCACUGUAACUGUCACUAUAUUCUGAAAGAAAUCUCUCUUCCUAUUGCUUCUGUUGGCAUUCACUAGAAUCUACUGUGACACCAAAAACAACCAGUCAGAGCCAAAGAGUCUCUACCAUAGCUGUCAAACUGUUAAACUUGGCAGUGCUAAUCAAAUAUGAAUCAAGAUUCUGUUACUGCAUUGCCUAUUCCUCACCUAAGAUGUUUCCAGAAACAUAUUUUUGUGCACUGCUCAGCUGUAAAAUGAGAGUUUUUGACCUGGCUGCCAUGUUGGAAAUGAUCGACUGAAAAACCAAGCACCGCCCACCGGCCGGACCAUCUUUCUCAUUUUACAGCUCAACAGUACACUAAAAUAUGUUUUUGAAAACACUUAAAGUGACAUAUACGCAAUGAAGAAACAUGAUUCAUAUUUGAUAAGUGCUGCCUAGUUUAGCAGUUUGACCGCAGUUUACAGGAGCAAUUGAUAUGACUGACAAAUGUUAAGAGACUCCCCUGCUCUGAUUGGUUGUUUUCAUACACAUGCAGUAAUGUCAUUAGAAGUGCUACAAGACAAAAGAGAAAGUAAUUGGAUAUGUAUUGUUUUCACAGCUUAUCUGUCUCACUUAGUGCUAUGUGAAUAUGGUGACAGUUUCAGCAAAUAAGACAAAUUGUUUUAUAUUUGUUUUGAUUUGCACUCUUCCUUCUUUACACUACAACAAAACACUUUCCCUGCAGAUUAAAAGUUUUCUCUGAUCUUAUUUCAGGGUCGAAUCCAAACAACAAAGCUGAAGUAGUUUAAAAGGAACUACACUGAUUUUUUUUUUUUUUGUGCACAGAUGCGUGUUGCCAUAUGUCAAUACAGUACAUUUUUCUAACAAAAUCCAUAUUGUAUGUAAAAUCUACUUUUUCUGCUCAAUAUUAGCUUGCCUGUAUGUAUAACAUUGGAUUUUAAAGUUUGGUUCAGACUUAUCAUCUCGCCCUGCCCAAACCUUGCUAAACAGGCAAGACUGAGAUCUAUUAAGCCCAGUUCAGACCAAAGAUUCAUGAUGAGACAAGUUGAAACCUGCGACAUUCUAAAAACCUGCCAGUUCACACCAAUGCAACUAGAGGAGACAGUGUAUCAUCUCUAUGCAACAACUGUCUGUACUUCCAAUCUGAUUUACAGCUUUUCAGGCUUGUGUUGUGGCUGAAUAUAAUUUGUAGCUUCCUAAAAUAUGAAUGAGGAUAGUGAUAGUGAGAUACUGGCUACAGUUACAUUUGUAGUACUGAUGAAACUGCGAAAAACAAAACGAGGAUCAGAUGGACUGUAUUCAUGCAUAAACACACCACAAUAAUAUAAAUUGGAAAUAGCACAUACAGCGAGCAGCAGCAGUGACCCACAGUCCAACACCAGCACACUGUGAGGGCAGAUACAAAGGGCUAAGCAGGGACAGAGCACCUGGCGCAGCAAGCAAUAAUGCCGUCUGCAGUCAUUUUGACUCAAAGAUAUUUAGGGCCUUCAAACAGUGAUGUUAACUGUGGUUAACAGCACAGACACACACCUUAUAGUCUCUCGUAGAGCCACUGCCCAAGAUAUAACACAGGUAUCCAUGCAGUGACUCUCAAAAGGGCCAUAAAUGUGCUACCAGUGACUGUCGAAACACUGAAUUAGCAGAAUUUGAGGUUGUAGUUUCCUUUUAAGCGCACUUUGGACAAUGUGAAGUUACUGAAGCUCAGUUAAAACAGCAACAUUUCAAGUUCAACUGAAAACUUUUAUCACAAACCUGAGGUAGAGCAGGGUCCUGCCUCUCGUGCAAUGUGUUUGACCAGGUGGAGCAAACACACUGUGCAGAUCUACAGAUAUCAUGGGGGUUCCAUAUUUUGCAUUCAAAACGGAGAAUUUUGCCGAAACGCAAUGAGCUUGCAGCUAUGAUUUCUGCUACAAGUGCUUUCAUAAACAAGACUUUACAAACCUCUGCUUGACUGAAAGAUGAAAAUACUUAGAAACUCUUUGGACUUGACUAAUCCUUGCUGCUUG